AAUCUUGCGCAAUGGGGGAAACCCCGACGCAGCGACGCCGCGUGAGUGAUGUUGGCCNNNGGGUUNUAAAACUCUGUCCUCAGNGACNAAAACAAUGACGGUCCCUGAGGAGGAAGCCCCGGUUAACUACGUGCCAGCAGCCGCGGUAAUACGUAGGGGGCGAGCGUUGGUCGGAAUUAUUGGGCGUAAAGGGUGCGUAGGCGGCCUUUUAAGUCAGGUGUGAAAGACCACAGCUUAACUGUGGGGUUGCAUUUGAAACUAGAAGGCUUGAGUAUCGGAGAGGGUAGUGGAAUUCCUGGUGUAGCGGUGAAAUGCGUAGAUAUCAGGAGGAACACCAGUGGCGAAGGCGACUACCUGGACGAAAACUGACGCUGAGGCACGAAAGCUAGGGUAGCAAAC
rnacentral:rRNA from 1 species